GAUGAACGCUGGCGGCGUGCUUAACACAUGCAAGUCGAACGGAAAGGCCCAAGCUUGCUUGGGUACUCGAGUGGCGAACGGGUGAGUAACACGUGGGUGAUCUGCCCUGCACUUCGGGAUAAGCCUGGGAAACUGGGUCUAAUACCGGAUAGGACCACUUCUUGGAUGUUGUGGUGGAAAGUUUUUUCGGUGUGGGAUGAGCUCGCGGCCUAUCAGCUUGUUGGUGGGGUAAUGGCCUACCAAGGCGUCGACGGGUAGCCGGCCUGAGAGGGUGUGCGGCCACAUUGGGACUGAGAUACGGCCCAGACUCCUACGGGAGGCAGCAGUGGGGAAUAUUGCACAAUGGGCGCAAGCCUGAUGCAGCGACGCCGCGUGGGGGAUGACGGCCUUCGGGUUGUAAACUCCUUUCGCUAGGGACGAAGCGUUUUGUGACGGUACCUGGAGAAGAAGCACCGGCUAACUACGUG
rnacentral:rRNA from 1 species